ACGCCAGGGCGGUUUGAUUGGUUCCCUUGGGGGCGAAGGGGCGGAGAUUGUGCGCAAGGCACCUCUCUCCCUUCUUCUCUCCCCUCUCGGCGGACGGGGUUCGAAAGAGGCUGGAGCGCGAGCCGUGGAACGUUGGCUGGCGCGGGAGUUGGCGGAGCGGAGCUCGGGCUGCUGCGGGGGAAGGGUGCCCGGGCCUCGCACUGGGGGGGCUCCAGUGGCGGGAGCGGGGUCCUGUUUAUGGCGAGGGAAGCUGCACUACCCGGAGAGCGUGCGGGGGAAAGGGCGACACAGGGUGGGGGAAACAGGACCCUUCUUAGUGGGAGGCUGUGGGGAGAAGGUGACGGGCAGCUUUUACUGGGAGAUUGCAGUGGUGCCAGGGACCCGCUGCUGAACGGCUGCGGUAAAGCGCCUGUGAUUGGAAAGCCGGGGUGGAGCAGAGGGAAGACUCCAAAAUACCUUUUAAUUGGGAGAGCUUGGAAGGGAGGAGGAAACGGGUGGGGAGCAUGUUUGGUUAAGAGGCGGGCGGGGGGGAUAUCGUUAGUGGAGAUGGGAGGAAAAGAAGGGCGAGGCAGGUCCCGCCCACCUUUCCUUGGUGGGCUAUGGCUGACAGUAGCCAUAUGCUACUGGGUGGAGAAAUGGGACUUUCCUGGGAGGCUACAAAAGUGGGGAGGGAGAGGCAUUUUGAGGGGAGAAUGAAGAUUAACGUGCCUGGACUGGGUUAGGAAACUGCAGUAAGAAAUAGAAUUUACCUAAAUUAUCCUAUGGUCUAAAGGGACCUCUUGCUUUCCAUCUAGUUAUUGGGAGCCUGCUUAGCUUUUCAGUGAGUGUCACCUCAGGACAGUGUGUCUGGUUUAUAUAAAACUUACUCAGUAUGUCUCCAAGGUAUUCUAAGGUCACUCCCCUUCUCCCCCUCCCCCCUCCGUAAUGCUGCAAAAUCCCUGCUGCUGCACUGGAUUAGUUUGAAGGGAUGAAAGUCCUAGGCAGCAACAGCAGGACUAGUAAAAUAACACACAUCAUAAUCCUAUAGCGUGAUAGAUUUUUUUUUUAAACCUCCCUGGUUUUGCUGGUGCCAAGGUGUGCUGCAAAGAGGAGGAUUUGCUUGCCAUUACAAUUUGUAGUGUUUGAUCAAGGUCUCACCUACUGUGUUUUUCUUGGAAGACCCAUUGCAUUACCGGUAUUAAAACACAGUUGAUGCUGAUGCAGUUCCUCAGUGUCAGAAGCUAAGUUGAGAGGCCAGCUGCUUCUGAGGACAUUGUCUGCUCCUAUCAAGAUAUUCAGAGAACUGUUCAGGAGGGGCAUCUCAUGAUUCAUUGUCCCACAUGCUUCAGGUGAAGAGGUCAUGCUAAAUCAGAAAUGAUGGAGAGACUGGACCUCAUUUAUACUCAAGAUGGCUGAAUUAAUACUAUUGAAAUUGUGUGGAGGAAUGCAAUAUGAACAGACAGGUUUAUGAUAGGAACUUAGACUGGGCUCCCUGGAGAACUGCAUCUUCCUAGAUGCAAUGCCAACACUCUUCUGAUCAACCUGCACAGUGCAUCAUGGGAUACUCGUGGCUGCAGAUGCAUCAUGGGAGAUAUAGUAGGGCCAGGGGGCUCAGCCCACAGGUGAGAAUGUGGGCAUCAGACUCCCAAACUACAACUCUCAAGAGAUGGGGAAACCGUGGAACAGAGAGAGUAAGUGGUUUACCAGCGUUCACAAAGCAAGUUUACAGAAGAGCUGACACUAGAACUUAAACCUCCGGACCGCUCAUUCUAUGCUUAGCACUAAAGUGUGACCUGCCCCCCCUCCCAAAAAAAUCCUAUGUUGAAUGCAGUUUGUGAAUGGAAAUAUUCAUGCACUUUCAAAUUCUCUCCUGGGAAACUAAGAACAGGAACAGCUUGGGCAGUAGUGGUGCCAACUUUUCCAUGUCACCUUGCCAGUGAUCUUCAAAUCUGACCUGGAGCCACCGCCACCUGUAAGGCUGUUGUAAUCAGACCUUGAUAAGAAUUGCUGCCAGAGACAUCCAAUCAGCCCCAUGUUAUCAUCUGGAAAUGAUUAGAGCCUUCAAGGCAGAUUGAAGCCAUUUUGAUAGCAUUGAUUAGUUCCUUAUUUUAAGUUGUGCCAUUUCACCGGAGAACAACAAAACAACAACAAAAUUGACAUGGAUGGAUUAAGGCAGCUAUUGGCAGAUAUCCGGGUCCUGUGAUCAAAAAGGACCUCUGAAUUUGGGAGCAAGACUUCAAGGAUCCAUCACAAGCAGUCUGGGAACAGCAGCUGACAUUGUGAGUCAGUUCCACUGACGAGAAAAUGGGUUGGCCCUUGUCUCUCUCUGCCUGAGAACAGGCCCAAGGCCCUGAACACUGAUCAGCAAGCUGAGCUGAAAGACACCGUAGAGCUUUGUCACUGCUGGGCCCUCUCCCACGCUUCCUAGAAGGCAUAACAAGGAGCUGCUGCUUUGAUUCAGGAGCAGAAAGGAGAUGCCGAAAUGCUCUCCACUCAAGUGGGAAGUAAAGGUGCCUCUGUAACCCCUCAACACCACCACCACUACUUGAUGGGGAGAAGCCCCUGCACCAACAAAUGAAGAUGGAUACAGACUUUCAUAGGAGCUGUGAGAGCCUGAUGGCUCUCCUGGCAACUGCAGCAGUGAAAGGAGCAGAACGUGGGACCACCUGGCAGCCCCACGCCAGCAGCUCCUCCAGCGCGGCUGCUGUACUGCCCUUAGGCCCUCCCCCCCGCCCGCACACACACUCCCCCCAGCCCUGUCCUCCGGCAAGGCUGCAGUACCUCCGGCCCGGCCCCAAACCCCGCAACCCUGGCCGGAGCUCUGGCUGGAGCGCAGCCCAAUUCCUGAGCUCUUUAAAGCCGGCCCUGAUCAGGGGACGGGGGGAGGGAGU